rnacentral:rRNA from 1 species
GACGAACGCUGGCGGCGUGCCUAAUACAUGCAAGUCGAACGCACUCACGAUUAGAUUGCAGGUGUUUGCUUCGCGUUGAUAAACAUUUGAGUGAGUGGCUAACGGGUGUGUAACACGUGGGUAACUUGCCCUAACGUGGGGGAUAACAUUUGGAAACAGAUGCUCAUACCGCAUAAAACCUAACACCGCAUGGUGUAGGGUUGAUAGAUGGUUUCGGCUCUCACUUUAGGAUGGACCCGCGCUGCAUUAGUUAGUUGGUGAGGUAAAGGCUCACCAAGGCCAUGAUGCAUAGCCGACCUGAGAGGGUAAUCGGCCACACUGGAACUGAGACACGGCCCAGACUCCUACGGGAGGCAGCAGUAGGGAAUCUUCCACAAUGGGCGAAAGUCUGAUGGAGCAACGCCGCGUGAGUGAAGAAGGUUUUCGGAUCGUAAAACUCUGUUGUUGGGGAAGAACGUAUCUGAAAGUAACUGUUCAGGUAGUGACGGUAUCCAACCAGAAAGCCACGGCUAACUACGUG